UUCCGGUUGAUCCUGCCGGACCUGACUGCUAUCGGAUUGAUACUAAGCCAUGUGAGUCAUUGCAGCAAUGCAAGGCAGACGGCUCAGUAACACGUAGUCAACCUACCCUAUAGACGGGGAUAACCUCGGGAAACUGAGGAUAAACCCCGAUAGAUCAUUAUGCCUGGAACGGUUUAUGGUCCAAAUGAUUCGUCGCUAUAGGAUGGGACUGCGGCCUAUCAGCUUGUUGGUGAGGUAAUGGCCCACCAAGGCUAUUACAGGUACGGGCUCUGAGAGGAGAGGCCCGGAGAUGGGUACUGAGACACGGACCCAGGUCCUAUGGGGCGCAGCAGGCGAGAAAACUUUGCAAUGUGCGCAAGCACGACAAGGUUAAUCCGAGUGAUUCCUGCUAAAGGAAUCUUUUGUUAGUUGUAAAACCACUGAUGAAUAAGGGGUGGGCAAGUUCUGGUGUCAGCCGCCGCGGUAAAACCAGCACCUCAAGUGGUCAGGAGGAUUAUUGGGCCUAAAGCAUCCGUAGCCUGCUUUGUAAGUUUUCGGUUAAAUCCAUCAGCUCAACUGAUGGGCCGCCGAAAAAACUGCAAAGCUAGGGAGUGGGAGAGGUAGACGGUACUCGAUAGGAAGGGGUAAAAUCCUUUGAUCUAUUGAUGACCCCCUGUGGCGAAGGCGGUCUACCAGAACACGUUCGACGGUGAGGGAUGAAAGCUGGGGGAGCAAACCGGAUUAGAUACCCGGGUAGUCCCAGCUGUAAACGAUGCAGACUCGGUGAUGCCCUGGCUUGUGGCCAGUGCAGUGCCGCAGGA
rnacentral:rRNA from 1 species